rnacentral:rRNA from 1 species
UACGUAGGGUGCAAGCGUUGUCCGGAAUUAUUGGGCGUAAAGAGCUCGUAGGCGGUUUGUCGCGUCGGCUGUGAAAACUCGGGGCUCAACCCCGAGCCUGCAGUCGAUACGGGCAGACUAGAGUGCUGUAGGGGAGACUGGAAUUCCUGGUGUAGCGGUGAAAUGCGCAGAUAUCAGGAGGAACACCGGUGGCGAAGGCGGCUCACUGGUCCACAACUGACGCUGAGGUGCGAAAGCGUGGGGAGCAAACAGG